rnacentral:rRNA from 1 species
UUCGGGGUACUCGAGUGGCGAACGGGUGAGUAACACGUGGGUGAUCUGCCCUGCACUUUGGGAUAAGCCUGGGAAACUGGGUCUAAUACCGAAUAGGACUACGGCCUGCAUGGGUUGUGGUGGAAAGCUUUUGCGGUGUGGGAUGGGCCCGCGGCCUAUCAGCUUGUUGGUGAGGUUACGGCUCACCAAGGCGACGACGGGUAGCCGGCCUGAGAGGGUGACCGGCCACACUGGGACUGAGAUACGGCCCAGACUCCUACGGGAGGCAGCAGUGGGGAAUAUUGCACAAUGGGCGCAAGCCUGAUGCAGCGACGCCGCGUGAGGGAUGACGGCCUUCGGGUUGUAAACCUCUUUCGCCAGGGACGAAGCGCAAGUGACGGUACCUGGAGAAGAAGGACCGGCCAACUACGUGCCAGCAGCCGCGGUAAUACGUAGGGUCCGAGCGUUGUCCGGAAUUACUGGGCGUAAAGAGCUCGUAGGUGGUUUGUCGCGUUGUUCGUGAAAACUCACAGCUUAACUGUGGGCGUGCGGGCGAUACGGGCAGACUGGAGUACUGCAGGGGAGACUGGAAUUCCUGGUGUAGCGGUGGAAUGCGCAGAUAUCAGGAGGAACACCGGUGGCGAAGGCGGGUCUCUGGGCAGUAACUGACGCUGAGGAGCGAAAGCGUGGGGAGCGAACAGGAUUAGAUACCCUGGUAGUCCACGCCGUAAACGGUGGGUACUAGGUGUGGGUUUCCUUCCUUGGGAUCCGUGCCGUAGCUAACGCAUUAAGUACCCCGCCUGGGGAGUACGGCCGCAAGGCUAAAACUCAAAGAAAUUGACGGGGGCCCGCACAAGCGGCGGAGCAUGUGGAUUAAUUCGAUGCAACGCGAAGAACCUUACCUGGGUUUGACAUGCACAGGACGUGCCUAGAGAUAGGUAUUCCCUUGUG